UACAGAGGGGGCAAGCGUUGUUCGGAAUUACUGGGCGUAAAGGGCGCGUAGGCGGCCUGUUAAGUCGAACGUGAAAUCCCCGGGCUCAACCCGGGAACUGCGUCCGAUACUGGCAGGCUUGAAUCCGGGAGAGGGAUGCGGAAUUCCAGGUGUAGCGGUGAAAUGCGUAGAUAUCUGGAGGAACACCGGUGGCGAAGGCGGCAUCCUGGACAAUGACUGACGCUAAAACACGAAAGCGUGGGGAGCAAACAGG
rnacentral:rRNA from 1 species